ensembl:snRNA U6 U6 spliceosomal RNA
GUGCUUGCCUCUGCAGCACAUGCCCUAAAACUGGAAUUAUACAGAGGUUAGCAUGACCCCAGUGCAAGGAUGACACAAACAUUUGUACUGUUCUCCAUAGUUUU